UACGCAGGGGGCUAGCGUUGUUCGGACUCACUGGGCGUAAAGCGCACGCAGGCGGAUCGGUAAGUCGGGGGUGAAAGCCCGGGGCUCAACCUCGGAAUUGCCUUCGAUACUGUCGGUCUCGAGUCCGGGAGAGGUGAGUGGAAUUCCUAGUGUAGAGGUGAAAUUCGUAGAUAUUAGGAAGAACACCAGUGGCGAAGGCGCCUCACUGGCCCGGUACUGACGCUCAGGUGCGAAAGCGUGUGGAGCAAACAGG
rnacentral:rRNA from 1 species